GAUGAACGCUGGCGGCGUGCUUAACACAUGCAAGUCGAACGGUGAAGGCGGAGCUUGCUCUGCUGGAUCAGUGGCGAACGGGUGAGUAACACGUGAGCAAUCUGCCCCUGACUCUGGGAUAAGCGCUGGAAACGGCGUCUAAUACUGGAUACGAGCUGCGAAGGCAUCUUCAGCAGCUGGAAAGAACUUCGGUCAGGGAUGAGCUCGCGGCCUAUCAGCUUGUUGGUGAGGUAACGGCUCACCAAGGCGUCGACGGGUAGCCGGCCUGAGAGGGUGACCGGCCACACUGGGACUGAGACACGGCCCAGACUCCUACGGGAGGCAGCAGUGGGGAAUAUUGCACAAUGGGCGAAAGCCUGAUGCAGCAACGCCGCGUGAGGGACGACGGCCUUCGGGUUGUAAACCUCUUUUAGCAGGGAAGAAGCGAAAGUGACGGUACCUGCAGAAAAAGCGCGGGCUAACUACGUG
rnacentral:rRNA from 1 species